GACGAACGCUGGCGGCGUGCUUAACACAUGCAAGUCGAACGGAUCAUGGUCUUCGGACCAUGGUUAGUGGCGAACGGGUGAGUAACACGUGGGCAACCUGCCCCUAGCUCUGGGAUAACUCCUCGAAACAGGCGCUACUACCGUAUACUCCCUGCGCUUGGCCUCUAGCUCUGUGGAAACUUUCUCGGCUAGGGAUGGGCCCGCGGCCGAUCAGCUUGUUGGUGGGGUAACGGCCCACCAAAGCGACGGCGGGGAGCCGGCCUGAGAGGGCGAGCGGCCACACUGGGACUGGGACACGGCCCAGACUCGUACGGGAGGAAGCAGUGGGGAAUAUUGCGCAAUGGGCGAAAGCCUGACGCAGCAACGCCGCGUGAGGGAUGACGGCAUUCGGGUUGUAAACCUCUUUCAGCAGGGACGAAGCGAAAGUGACUGUACCUGCAGAAGAAGCGCCGGCUAACUACGUGCCAGCCGCCGCCGUAA
rnacentral:rRNA from 1 species